rnacentral:rRNA from 1 species
CCUACGGGGGGCAGCAGUGAGGAAUAUUGGUCAAUGGACGCAAGUCUGAACCAGCAAUGCCGCGUGCAGGAAGACGGCUCUAUGAGUUGUAAACUGCUUUUGUACGAGGGUAAACGCAGAUACGCGUAUCUGUCUGAAAGUAUCGUACGAAUAAGGAUCGGCUAACUCCGUGCCAGCAGCCGCGGUAAUACGGAGGAUUCAAGCGUUACCCGGAUUGAUUGGGUUUAAAGGGUGCGUAGGCGGUCGGAUAAGUUAGAGGUGAAAUCCCGAGGCUCAACUGCGGAAUUGCCUCUGAUACUGUUCGGCUAGAGAGUAGUUGCGGUAGGUGGAAUGUAUGGUGUAGCGGUGAAAUGCUUAGAGAUCAUACAGAACACCGGUUGCGAAGGCAGCUUACCAAGCUACUUCUGACGUUGAGGCACGAAAGCGUUGGGAGCAAACAGGAUUAGAUACCCGAGUAGUC